AUUGAACGCUGGCGGCAGGCCUAACACAUGCAAGUCGAGCGGAUGAAGGGAGCUUGCUCCUGGAUUCAGCGGCGGACGGGUGAGUAAUGCCUAGGAAUCUGCCUGGUAUUGGGGGAUAACGUCCGGAAACGGGCGCUAAUACCGCAUACGUCCUGAGGGUGAAAGUGGGGGAUCUUCGGACCUCACGCUAUCAGAUGAGCCUAGGUCGGAUUAGCUAGUUGGUGGGGUAAAGGCCUACCAAGGCGACGAUCCGUAACUGGUCUGAGAGGAUGAUCAGUCACACUGGAACUGAGACACGGUCCAGACUCCUACGGGAGGCAGCAGUGGGGAAUAUUGGACAAUGGGCGAAAGCCUGAUCCAGCCAUGCCGCGUGUGUGAAGAAGGUCUUCGGAUUGUAAAGCACUUUAAGUUGGGAGGAACGGCAGUAAGUUAAUACCUUGCUGUUUUGACGGUACCAACAGAAUAAGCACCGGCUAACUUCGUG
rnacentral:rRNA from 1 species